rnacentral:rRNA from 1 species
AGAGUUUGAUCCUGGCUCAGAACGUACGCUGGCGGCACGCCUAACACAUGCAAGUCGAACGAAGUAGCAAUACUUAGUGGCAGACGGGUGAGUAACAUGUAGGUAUCUACCCUAUGGCCUGGAAUAACACGAGGAAACUUGUGCUAAUACUGGAUAAGUCUUUACGGAGAAAGCUUUAUGCACCAUUGGAUGAGCCUGCACUUGAUUAGUUUGUUGGUGGGGUAAUGGCCUACCAAGACUGUGAUCAAUAGCUGAUUUGAGAGGAUGAUCAGCCACAUUGGGACUGAGACACGGCCCAAACUCCUACGGGAGGCAGCAGUGGGGAAUCUUGCACAAUGGAGGAAACUCUGAUGCAGCGAUGCCGCGUGAGUGAAGAAGGCCCUUGGGUUGUAAAGCUCUUUCGUCGGGGAAGAAAAUGACUGUACCCGAAUAAGAAGGUCCGGCUAACUUCGUGCCAGCAGCCGCGGUAAUACGAAGGGACCUAGCGUAGUUCGGAAUUACUGGGCUUAAAGAGUUCGUAGGUGGUUGAAAAAGUUAGUGGUGAAAUCCCAGAGCUUAACUCUGGAACUGCCAUUAAAACUUUUCAGCUAGAGUAUGAUAGAGGAAAGCAGAAUUUCUAGUGUAGAGGUGAAAUUCGUAGAUAUUAGAAAGAAUACCAAUUGCGAAGGCAGCUUUCUGGAUCAUUACUGACACUGAGGAACGAAAGCAUGGGUAG